rnacentral:rRNA from 1 species
UACGUAGGGAGCAAGCGUUGUCCGGAAUCAUUGGGCGUAAAGCGCGCGUAGGUGGCUUCGUAAGUCCGGUGUGAAAGUCAAAGGCUCAACCUUUGAAAGCCGAUGGAUACUGCGGAGCUAGAGUACGGAAGAGGCGAGUGGAAUUCCUGGUGUAGCGGUGGAAUGCGCAGAUAUCAGGAGGAACACCAAUAGCGAAGGCAGCUCGCUGGGACGUUACUGACACUGAGGCGCGAAAGCGUGGGGAGCAAACAGG